rnacentral:tRNA from 1 species
GAAAUAUAAAAAAAUUAAGCUUCUAACUUAACUUAUAGUAGUAUUUAUGUAACUAUUAAUAUUUCU